GGGUCAGUAGGUUGGUCGUGCCACCGGUACGUACUGGUCUCACUGAUUCCUCCUUCCUGAAGAACCGUAAUGCCAUUAAUUUGGUGUUGCGGGGAAACAGGACUGUUACUUUGAAAAAAUUAGAGUGUUUAAAGCAAGCUAACGCUUGAAUACAUUAGCAUGGAAUAAUGAAAUAGGACGAUCGAUCCUAUUUUGUUGUUUCUAGGAUUGACGUA
rnacentral:rRNA from 1 species